rnacentral:SRP_RNA from 1 species
CCAGCCUGUUCUUCUUAACUGAGCUCGACUCAAAGUGGGAGUGGGACACCGGUUGUGGGUAAAAAUUGCGCUUCUCGAAGGACUAGCCGCGCACGGACUUCUUGUUGCGAUCGGACCGGUGGAGGAUGCCCUCGUUGUUGGAGGAGGACUUGUUGAGCUUGCGGUAGUUGG